AUUGAACGCUGGCGGCAUGCCUUACACAUGCAAGUCGAACGGCAGCACGGGUGCUUGCACCUGGUGGCGAGUGGCGAACGGGUGAGUAAUACAUCGGAACGUACCUUAUCGUGGGGGAUAACGCAGCGAAAGCUGUGCUAAUACCGCAUACGCCCUGAGGGGGAAAGCGGGGGAUCGCAAGACCUCGCGCGAUUAGAGCGGCCGAUGCCUGAUUAGCUUGUUGGUGGGGUAAAAGCCCACCAAGGCGACGAUCAGUAGCUGGUCUGAGAGGACGAUCAGCCAAACUGGGAAUGGGACACGGCGCAGACUCCUACGGGAGGCAGCAGUGGGGUAUUUUGGACAAGGGGGGCAACCCUGAUCCAGCAAGGCCGCGUGAGUGAAGAAGGCCUUCGGGUUGUAAAGCUCUUUUGUCAGGGAAGUAACACCGGCUCUAACACAGUCCGGGAAUGACGGUACCUGAAGAAUAAGCACCGGCUAACUACGUGCCAGCCGCCGCCGUAA
rnacentral:rRNA from 1 species